rnacentral:rRNA from 1 species
UACGUAGGGUGCAAGCGUUGUCCGGAAUUAUUGGGCGUAAAGAGCUCGUAGGCGGUUUGGCAAGUCGGGUGUGAAAUCUCUGGGCUCAACUCAGAGAGGCCACUCGAUACUGCUAUGACUAGAGUCCGGUAGGGGACCAUGGAAUUCCUGGUGUAGCGGUGAAAUGCGCAGAUAUCAGGAGGAACACCUGUGGCGAAGGCGGCUUUCUGGGCCUUACCUGACGCUGAGACGCGAAAGCGUGGGGAGCGAACCGG